rnacentral:lncRNA from 1 species
GCUCAGCCGUCCGUGCAUAUCUCUGCACGGAGCCUGCAGCGCACGGGGAAUAAACCCCCACACCUACACCCGCUGCGCCCCUGCGGCCUCGCCUCUCCUUCCUCACCUCUGGCCGCGGAGCUCUUUCCAGACCACCCGUGUCCCCCCGCCAGCCAGGCCCCCCGGCCCUCCUCCCGUCACUCCCGUCACCCUCCACCGGAAAACACUUGUGCACUUGGCGCUGUGCACACAGUGUGCCGUGAGCUCUGGGAAAGUGGCCUCCUGUCGUCGGGCGCUGACCACACUCACCCCAGCUCUUGCCACCAAGAGCUGUCCGACGGCGGAUGGGGCCCAGGGGAGAGAGAGGCACACCUGCAAAGCAGAAGGGGCCCCACGGCGCCAGUGACCCAGGGACCAAAUUCCUGUAGCCAGAAAAACACUCCUACUCCCCAACCAGGACCUUCACUCCUGAGAUGGAGAAUAAGCUCAGCUAACCCGGAGGGGUUUUCCUGCAACCUUUGUUGGCCUGGGCCCCUCACACCCUCCGAAGCCACCGCACCACCCUCAGCAACUCCCACCACGCAGGCGUUUGCUGAGUGUCCACGGCGGGCCAGCGCAGCCCGCGUGCGUCACAGCCCCCGCCCCAGACGCCCCAGGGAGCAUCUGUGCCACCGCCAUUCCCAUGUUACAGAUGACAAAUUGAGGCACAGAGAAGCUAAAGCCGAUGCCAGGCACCACGUGGCAGGGCCACGAUUAAGCCUCCUGUGCUGGCUUCCCGCGAAGAGACGCUUGUGGUGUCUUUGAACGCUACAUUUUGAAGCGCGUUUUUUUCUGUGCUGGACCCCGGACGAGACCAUCAGCUUCCGCGGACCAGGCCGGCCAGUUCACAGAGGAACAAACACAGACCCCAUGCGCUCGCCGUGGGCAGGUGUGGGCCAGGGUCUGGGGUCUGGGCGAGCUUCUUAGGUCUCGCUCCCUUCCUUCAACCCCCUAGGCCUAGGGAGGGUUCCUAUUAGCACAGCGGGGUCCACACACGGACAAGGCCAGGCCUUGACUGUGACCCCCAGGGCCACCCUUCCCAACGCCCCUGGGCCUGGGCCUGGGCCGGGACCAUGACCUGUGAUGAUCAAAUCCAGGCGGCCAUAAGGGGGGGUGUGUGUGUGCCCACCCGCCCCCGGGCGCCAGGUGCAGGAACCCAGGCGGCAGGGGGAGGGUGCUCUCUGCCCCCCUCACUCACCACUCCCACCCAGCUGUGCUGGAGGCCGCCUGGGCGCCCACGAGGGAAGGGCAGCGCCCCAGCCGCGCCAACGGGGCUUACCUCCCUCACCCCUCCCUGAACCAGCUACGAACGACCAGGGGGCAGUUCCCUCCCUGGGGCGGGUGGG